rnacentral:rRNA from 1 species
GAUGAACGCUGGCGGCGUGCCUAAUACAUGCAAGUCGAGCGAACGGACGAGAAGCUUGCUUUUCUGAUGUUAGCGGCGGACGGGUGAGUAACACGUGGAUAACCUACCUAUAAGACUGGGAUAACUUCGGGAAACCGGAGCUAAUACCGGAUAAUAUUUUGAACCGCAUGGUUCAAAAGUGAAAGACGGUCUUGCUGUCACUUAUAGAUGGAUCCGCGCUGCAUUAGCUAGUUGGUAAGGUAACGGCUUACCAAGGCAACGAUGCAUAGCCGACGUGAGAGGGUGAUAGGCCACACUGGAACUGAGACACGGUCCAGACUCCUACGGGAGGCAGCAGUAGGGAAUCUUCCGCAAUGGGCGAAAGCCUGACGGAGCAACGCCGCGUGAGUGAUGAAGGUCUUCGGAUCGUAAAACUCUGUUAUUAGGGAAGAACAUAUGUGUAAGUAACUGUGCACAUCUUGACGGUACCUAAUCAGAAAGCCACGGCUAACUACGUG